rnacentral:rRNA from 1 species
GGGUUGUGAGGUUAAGCGACUAAGCGUACACGGUGGAUGCCCUGGCAGUCAGAGGCGAUGAAGGACGUGCUAAUCUGCGAUAAGCGCCGGUAAGGUGAUAUGAACCGUUAUAACCGGCGAUUUCCGAAUGGGGAAACCCAGUGUGACUCGUCACACUAUCAUUAACUGAAUCCAUAGGUUAAUGAGGCGAACCGGGGGAACUGAAACAUCUAAGUACCCCGAGGAAAAGAAAUCAACCGAGAUUCCCCCAGUAGCGGCGAGCGAACGGGGAGGAGCCCAGAGCCUGAAUCAGCAUGUGUGUUAGUGGAAGCGUCUGGAAAGGCGCGCGAUACAGGGUGACAGCCCCGUACACAAAAGCGCAUGUGCUGUGAGCUCGAUGAGUAGGGCGGGACACGUGGUAUCCUGUCUGAAUAUGGGGGGACCAUCCUCCAAGGCUAAAUACUCCUGACUGACCGAUAGUGAACCAGUACCGUGAGGGAAAGGCGAAAAGAACCCCGGCGAGGGGAGUGAAAAAGAACCUGAAACCGUGUACGUACAAGCAGUGGGAGCNNGGGCGUUAAGUUGCAGGGUAUAGACCCGAAACCCGGUGAUCUAGCCAUGGGCAGGUUGAAGGUUGGGUAACACUAACUGGAGGACCGAACCGACUAAUGUUGAAAAAUUAGCGGAUGACCUGUGGCUGGGGGUGAAAGGCCAAUCAAACCGGGAGAUAGCUGGUUCUCCCCGAAAGCUAUUUAGGUAGCGCCUCGUGAAUUCAUCUCCGGGGGUAGAGCACUGUUUCGGCUAGGGGGCCAUCCCGGCUUACCAACCCGAUGCAAACUGCGAAUACCGGAGAAUGUUAUCACGGGAGACACACGGCGGGUGCUAACGUCCGUCGUGAAGAGGGAAACAACCCAGACCGCCAGCUAAGGUCCCAAAGUCAUGGUUAAGUGGGAAACGAUGUGGGAAGGCCCAGACAGCCAGGAUGUUGGCUUAGAAGCAGCCAUCAUUUAAAGAAAGCGUAAUAGCUCACUGGUCGAGUCGGCCUGCGCGGAAGAUGUAACGGGGCUAAACCAUGCACCGAAGCUGCGGCAGCGANNUGCUGGAGGUAUCAGAAGUGCGAAUGCUGACAUAAGUAACGAUAAAGCGGGUGAAAAGCCCGCUCGCCGGAAGACCAAGGGUUCCUGUCCAACGUUAAUCGGGGCAGGGUGAGUCGACCCCUAAGGCGAGGCCGAAAGGCGUAGUCGAUGGGAAACGGGUUAAUAUUCCCGUACUUGGUGUUACUGCGAAGGGGGGACGGAGAAGGCUAUGUUGGCCGGGCGACGGUUGUCCCGGUUUAAGCGUGUAGGUGUGUGUUCCAGGUAAAUCCGGUUCACUUUAACACUGAGGCGUGACGACGAGGCACUACGGUGCUGAAGCAACAAAUGCCCUGCUUCCAGGAAAAGCCUCUAAGCAUCAGGUAACAUCAAAUCGUACCCCAAACCGACACAGGUGGUCAGGUAGAGAAUACCAAGGCGCUUGAGAGAACUCGGGUGAAGGAACUAGGCAAAAUGGUGCCGUAACUUCGGGAGAAGGCACGCUGACAUGUAGGUGAAGUGAUUUACUCAUGGAGCUGAAGUCAGUCGAAGAUACCAGCUGGCUGCAACUGUUUAUUAAAAACACAGCACUGUGCAAACACGAAAGUGGACGUAUACGGUGUGACGCCUGCCCGGUGCCGGAAGGUUAAUUGAUGGGGUCAGCGCAAGCGAAGCUCCUGAUCGAAGCCCCGGUAAACGGCGGCCGUAACUAUAACGGUCCUAAGGUAGCGAAAUUCCUUGUCGGGUAAGUUCCGACCUGCACGAAUGGCGUAAUGAUGGCCAGGCUGUCUCCACCCGAGACUCAGUGAAAUUGAACUCGCUGUGAAGAUGCAGUGUACCCGCGGCAAGACGGAAAGACCCCGUGAACCUUUACUAUAGCUUGACACUGAACAUUGAGCCUUGAUGUGUAGGAUAGGUGGGAGGCUUUGAAGUGUGGACGCCAGUCUGCAUGGAGCCGACCUUGAAAUACCACCCUUUAAUGUUUGAUGUUCUAACGUGGACCCGUUAUCCGGGUUGCGGACAGUGUCUGGUGGGUAGUUUGACUGGGGCGGUCUCCUCCUAAAGAGUAACGGAGGAGCACGAAGGUUGGCUAAUCCUGGUCGGACAUCAGGAGGUUAGUGCAAUGGCAUAAGCCAGCUUGACUGCGAGCGUGACGGCGCGAGCAGGUGCGAAAGCAGGUCAUAGUGAUCCGGUGGUUCUGAAUGGAAGGGCCAUCGCUCAACGGAUAAAAGGUACUCCGGGGAUAACAGGCUGAUACCGCCCAAGAGUUCAUAUCGACGGCGGUGUUUGGCACCUCGAUGUCGGCUCAUCACAUCCUGGGGCUGAAGUAGGUCCCAAGGGUAUGGCUGUUCGCCAUUUAAAGUGGUACGCGAGCUGGGUUUAGAACGUCGUGAGACAGUUCGGUCCCUAUCUGCCGUGGGCGCUGGAGAACUGAGGGGGGCUGCUCCUAGUACGAGAGGACCGGAGUGGACGCAUCACUGGU